rfam:Danio rerio chromosome 4, GRCz11 reference primary assembly.
GUCAGGAUGGCCGAGCGGUCUAAGAUGCUGCGUUCAGGUCGCAGUCUCCCCUGGAGGCGUGGGUUCGAAUCCCACUUCUGACA